rnacentral:rRNA from 1 species
GGCCUCUGUACAAAUGUCUCCAAAAGCUCAGUUGCCCCCAUUCGUUGCCGAAACCUUAACCUUGACGCCAUUCUUCAUGGGCUCCCCGCUAAGAGAGCUUCCUUCCCGCUAAAAUACCUGGGGCUGCCCUUGUUGGUGUGGCAGCUCAAACGUGCCGACUUUCAGUACAUGGAGGAUCAGGUCGCUGGAAGGCUUGUACCUUGGGAAGGGAGAUACAUUGCAACACCGGGCUGUAUAGUGUUGGUCAAAUCGGUCCUGACCUCGCAGGUUGUCUUCACUGCUACUGCUCUUCCCAUUCCUAAGGGCACCCUGAACAACAUCAGCAAGAUUGAGCGAGCGUUCCUUUGGUCGGCCUCGCACAAGACGACUGGG